rnacentral:rRNA from 1 species
UACGUAGGGGGCAAGCGUUGUCCGGAUUUACUGGGCGUAAAGAGCGCGUAGGCGGAACGUUAAGCGGGGCCGGAAAGCCCCCGGCUCAACCGGGGAAGGGGCCGCGAACUGGCGUUCUUGAGGGGGAGAGGGGAGAGCGGAAUUCCUGGUGUAGCGGUGAAAUGCGUAGAGUAUCGGGAGGAACACCAGUGGCGAAGGCGACUUCCUGGCCUGUUCUUGACGCUGAGGCGCGAAAGCUAGGGGAGCAAACGGG